AGGGGUGUAGUAGUCUCUCCAAUUGGCAGAGCAGCGGAUUCCAAAUCCGCGUGUUGGGAGUUCGAAUCUCUCCACCCCUGCCA
rnacentral:tRNA from 1 species